GGGGUUGUGGCUCAGUGAUAGAGUGUUUGCCUAGCAUGUGUGAGCCAUGGGGUUCAAUUCCCCAGCAUCA
rnacentral:tRNA from 1 species